rnacentral:lncRNA from 1 species
CUUCCUUUUUCUCUGUGCAUCCUCAGUGACGCGGGGCACAGCUCUGCCCGGGGGCCUACCAGAGCCCACCUGGACCCCACACUGGGUCAGCCCUGGUGCGGAGGAGGCCGCUGCGCGGCCAGGUCACAGUCGGCACCAGAAGUUUGGCAGAUCUCAGUGAGGCGUUAGUUUGCAUUUCCUUGUGACGGGGUUGUAGAAGAAGGUUAACAAGGUACCACAAACCGGAUGGCUCAAAACAGCGGAUACUGUCUCACGGUUCUGGAGACCUGAAGUCUGAAACAAAGUGGUGAUGGGGUCGGUUCCCUCCGGAGGCUCUGAGGGGGAUGCAGUGGC